rnacentral:rRNA from 1 species
UACGAAGGGGGCGAGCGUUGUUCGGAUUUACUGGGCGUGAAGGGCGCGCAGGCGGUCUUGAAAGUCAGGCGUGAAAGCCCCGGGCUUAACCUGGGAAUUGCGCUUGAUACUCUGAGACUGGAGUACGGGAGAGGAGAGUGGAAUUCCCAGUGUAGAGGUGAAAUUCGUAGAUAUUGGGAAGAACACCAGUGGCGAAGGCGGCUCUCUGGACCGUAACUGACGCUGAGGCGCGAAAGCGUGGGGAGCAAACAGG